GAUACCAAGGUGAUCCUGGGCUGAAGUGCCUCCAAGGCUGAUUAUUGCUGCAAAUGGCUCCAGUGUGCAAUCCAAAAUGCUGAAUAAGCAGCCUGUGUUUCCUACCCAGCACCUCAAAACGGGUUCAAAACAGCUGACAGAAGCCUCUAUUCGCUUGGUAGCCAAACCACCUCAUGAGUGGCUGUCAGACUCCGCCGAAAACCAUCUAGACCUUCAUCCAAAGGAAGGUAAUUCGCAAGUUUACUACUCCGAAUUCAGGCAGUGAUUUCCUCCCCACCUCUUGAGAGUAUUGAUACUGCUUAUUUAAUAGUAAGUUAUUUAUAUAAAACAGGAUCUUUACCUGGACAAGGAGUUUCUCUUCCUACCUGUUCUCCUGGCUUUUGAAACUACCUGUGUGAUCAAGGAGUACUGCAUAGCUACCAGCACCAACCUCACUGUAAAUGUUUGCAUUAUGAGAAGACGACUCUUAUAUGUCCUGGAAAUGCACUACACUGACUUGUUCCAGCAAACAGUGUCUUUCUAAAAUCAACAUGACUACUUUUAUGAGUCAAGGAAAACUCAUUCAUAAGUGUUUUCAGAUUCUAGCCAACAGUUUUUUUUAAAUUAUGCUCCAUCUUCUUUCCCCCUUUCUCCCCACUUUUAGACCAAGGAGUUGAAAUAAUGAAACAGGCUUAGCAAGGGGAGUAAGAGGAAAAUAAUUUUCUGAGUGCUUCACAUACUGUUAUCCUCAUCCUCUCACUUGUGCAUGAAAUGCAGCUGAAGUAUGGAAUAUAUGAAAUAAGUUCCUAGAAGUUUACAGCAAAGCCACAGUGAAAGGUGGUGAGAGAAGAGAGAAUAAUGCAGCCAGUGGAAAAACAAGCAGCAUUUUGGACAGGCAGAACACUGUUGAUCUGCAGUCACCUAGGUUUUCUGAAUUCUUUUCCUCUUUCAAAUCUUCCUUUACAGUCAUAGGGACCUACCAGCAGCACAAGCAAGGGGAGCUGGGUAAGAAACUUUCUGAAGUCCUUGGCCUCAUAAUGACUAGCCAAAAAGAUUUGUCUAGCCUGAGAAUCAAGACGCUUGGCCCAAGUAUCUUGCUAGGUGUAAAACUUUGGCUCUUCUACCUGGCUUAAGGAUGCACGCCAGAGAUUGGUCCAGAAGGAGAAGAAUGCUCUCUGAACCAAAUACUUCUCUCUUUCUCUCAAAAUAUGAGUGUCAGUGCAUUUAUUGUAGGACACUGCAUCCACUCACGGAGAACUCCUUGCAGCAGAACAAGAGGAUAAGGAAAGACCUGCAGAUUUCCAGGUGAUUCUAGCAUCGAUCCUCUUCCCCCAGCAUGAAGAUGAAUUAAAAUUGUACUAGAAAAUGGUUGGAAGCUAUAAUCACCUCUGCUGUGUUACUCUGGAUGUGUCCAUACAGCUGACUGGGAAGGAGAAGUCUGCUUGCCUGUCAAAAAGAUGUGGAAAUGUGCUGGCAUUCCAGCUGAAGACAUCAUUAUGAGUGAGAAAAUGCUCAAGGCUUUUUCAAAGCGGGUGCUGAAACAUACGUUUCUCUUCUUUGACUCCAGGGGAUGCUAACAGCUGCCCCAGCAGACAGGUAUUGCAAGGUCAAAGGCUAGCAGAGCUGUACACCUUCAGGAUUUGACUGCCAGCAAAGAAGAGGGGUAGUUUCUCAAAACUAAUAACAAAAAUAGCAACAAUGAUGAGAAGAAGAAGGAGCUGACAACAAAAAUGAAAAGGAACCUGCAAGAAGUGAAUUCUGGGUAGCGCAACACUUGGCAGAGCUGAUUUUAAUAUCUGACAGGUUGAGUUCACUAAUCUUUGCUAUUCAUAUUGACGUGAAACUUCAUACAGUUUUAGAGAUUUGUAUCUAUUAAGACAUGCAGCAGUGUUCCUACAACAUGGGAACAAGUUUGCUAGUGCCUGGCGUUCGUCUUCCUCCGUGAUAAAAAUUGAUAUGAACUGUUUUAAACGUCGAACAGAUAAUUACUCUCAACACUCAAUAAGGAAAGCUACAUCUUUAGAGCCUCCUUUAUCUUUAAAAAAUAAUAAAAAAAACCAAGCCCAAAAUUCACCAACAAGACAAAACAACAUUCGUCCCCCCGUUUUCCCCCCUCUCUUUUGUUUCUUUGAUUACUUGGAGCCUUGUAAUCAAACUAAGCUUAGUUUCGGGACCCUUGGGGCAGUAUCUCUUAGUUCCCUGUCAGGCUGCGUUGCAAAACAAUCAAUCUUGCUCUUGUGCUGGCUUGGUGGAAGUGCCACGACACGAGGAGUGCAAUGCUUUGCUCUUGCUGUGAAGCUUCGAUGACAAAAGUUUUUAUCAGAAGCUGACUGUAUUUAGGGUUAUGAAUAUGCAAUGACUCUCAUUAGUAUUGAAGCACAGGAGCAUGGGCUGACAUCCCCCGCCACUUUUAGCUGCUGCAGAGUCGUCUAAUGAAUUGUCUUGCUCUUUCACUCGCACAGACUUUGCUGUUACAGCUCCCCGUUCCAAGGGGAGUUGCCCAGUUUGAGAAUACUAUUGAUGGCAGAAAUUAAUUGCCAAGAACUGCUCUUGAUUUUGUUAAACAGUGUUGAGACAGUGUUUAAAUUGUCAAAACAGAAAACCAUUAAACUCUACAGGAGACAAAAUCAUUGCGAGUGAGAGGACCUGUGUGUCUUCACGCAUAGCCAUGCAGAAGCAUACAGGUGUGGCACAGGUAUGCGUACAGUCUUGUAAUCAUACCUACACAUACAAACAUGUGCGUGUGUCAGUGACAGGUCUCAGAAACCUGACAUCCUGCUGAUUUACCUAUUAUUCUUCCAACUAGAACAAACGGGGAUAACAGAAAGUUCUCCAAAUGAGCAGGAGUCCAAUACAUUGCUAUUUGAUCAAGCCUUUAAUACUCUUUCUUUUCCCUUUGGGACCCUGCCAAACAUUUUUCAGCUCACACAUCUGCAAUCUUUAUGAAUAAGUUACUGAUAAGGAUGUUUCCAACAAAUGAUUAAGAUAUCUGGCUUGAUUUGUUGUAUUUGAGGAGAUGUGUAAGCUUUCAGAAACAAGUGGAAAUGACCCUUUUUUUCCCAAUUGGUUAAAUUAAGUAUUUUUUUCCCUAUUCAUCUGAAAUUUCUUCUGACAUAAAAGGAGCUUUUGUGGCUCUCUGCAGAUUGUGAAGGAUAGAGUGAAUUGAAACGGAUAAUAUAUUCCAAGAAGCGUAAGUAGCAUUCUGAAAGGUGUGCGCGUACUGCAAAUAAUAAAGGAUAUGAGGUUCUCCCAAGAACAUGUCAGCCCCACACAGCUCUUUAUCCAUUUAAUCAGUAAUGGAAAUGGUCCCAGUGCAAGGAAGGAGGAUCUGUUUAAUUUUUACUGCGAUUUUUGGCACUGUUGCUCUAAUGCGAGCUUGGCUUACCUCUUGACCCAACCCCAGGAGUGUCUGUUCUCAUCAGCUGGAGAAAAAAUAAACAUAAAGAACAUCUACAUGUUGGGAGUAUCAAAUAUAAGAGCAGUUUAAAAUAAAUGCAGUUCUGACAAAAGUGGCUCAAGUAUCAUACAUCAAACACUUGUUACCUCUCUUGGCCUUAGUGAUUGCACGUGACUAAGAAAGAGUGAGUGAUAAAAUCUGAAGAAAGAUGAAACCAAUCUGGGCCUUUUUAAAGAUCAUCAAUCAUUCUGCGCAGCCAUGGUAUUAUUAGUUCCAGUAAGCCUUGUUCUCCCAUUUUAUGGACAUCAUAAACCCCCCACCCCUAGACCAAUGUUACCAUGGGAAAUCAUUUUUAUGGGCAGCAUCUUAGUGUGGGCCAAUCAGAUCCAAUCACAUAACAAGCUACUGAAUUAUUCAACGUUCUCCCUAAUUUUGCAUUCUUCCUGCACUUUGCUGUCACUGCAGGGUUUUAAAAGUAUGUGUUUUUACAAUAUUUAUUAAGAAGAUAACCAUACACAGGAAUUUUGCUUUCUCUAUGUCUUUCAAUAAUUGUUUGUUCCCUUAGAUUGCUGCAGUAUAUACAUUGCUAUAUAGAGAAUAUUUUUUCUAAAAGGAAUAGCAAUCCACACUGUGGCACUCGGCUUUAAACUCUUUCAGCUUUUAAAAUACUGAACGUAAGGAAAACAAUAGUGAAACUAUUGUGUUCAAACAUAAAAUAUUCAGAUUUACUGAGCAAACUGUAACCAGCAUGUCUCUUAGCUGUUGCUAUGAAUACAGGGCUCACAUUGUAUAUGAAAAUAUUUCAGUUUUAAUUGCAAAUCUGUGCAGAGAUGAUUUGGGGUCUGUAAUUAGCACAUAAAUUCCAGACUUUGUGACUGCUGUGAAAACACACAUUAUUUAUGGAACUAUUAUCUAAAUAUAAUUCAGUGUUUUUUGCUUUCAACAACUACUGUAAAAGUCUGAUUUAAUAAAAUGUGAAAAAUU